CCUACGGGAGGCAGCAGUGGGGAAUAUUGGGCAAUGGGCGCAAGCCUGACCCAGCAACGCCGCGUGAAGGAAGAAGGCUUUCGGGUUGUAAACUUCUUUUGUCAGGGAAGAGUAGAAGGCGGUACCUGACGAAUAAGCCACGGCUAACUACGGGCCAGCAGCCGCGGUAAUACGUAGGUGGCUAGCGAUGUCCGGAUUUACUGGGUGUAAAGGGCGUAUAGCCGGGUUGACAAGUCAGUUGUGAAAUCCUGAGGCUUAACCGCAGAACUGCAUUGGAAACUGUUGAUCGUGAGUACUGGAGAGGCAGACGGAAUGCGUGGUGUAGCGGUGGAAUGCGUAGAUAUUAGGAGGAACACCAGUGGCGAAGGCGGUCUGCUGGACAGCAACUGACGGUGAGGCGCGAAAGCGUGGGGAGCAAACAGGAGUAGAUACCCCAGUAGUC
rnacentral:rRNA from 1 species